rnacentral:rRNA from 1 species
AUUGAACGCUGGCGGCAGGCUUAACACAUGCAAGUCGAGCGGGGUGAUGGUGCUUGCACUAUCACUUAGCGGCGGACGGGUGAGUAAUGCUUAGGAAUCCGCCUAUUAGUGGGGGACAACAUCUCGAAAGGGAUGCUAAUACCGCAUACGUCCUACGGGAGAAUGCAGGGGAUCACUUGUGACCUUGCGCUAAUAGAUGAGCCUAAGUCGGAUUAGGUAGUUGGUGGGGGAAAGGCCUACCAAGGCGACGAUCUGUAGCGGGUCUGAGAGGAUGAUCCGCCACACUGGGACUGAGACACGGCCCAGACUCCUACGGGAGGCAGCAGUGGGGAAUAUUGGACAAUGGGGGGAACCCUGAUCCAGCCAUGCCGCGUGUGUGAAGAAGGCCUUAUGGUUGUAAAGCACUUUAAGCGAGGAGGAGGCUCUUUUGGUUAAUACCCAAGAUGAGUGGACGUUACUCGCAGAAUAAGCACCGGCUAACUCUGUGCCAGCCGCCGCCGUAA